CCUAACACAUGCAAGUCGAACGGCAGCACGGACUUCGGUCUGGUGGCGAGUGGCGAACGGGUGAGUAAUAUAUCGGAACGUAUCCAAUAAUGGGGGAUAACUAAUCGAAAGGUUGGCUAAUACCGCAUACGCCCUAAGGGGGAAAGCAGGGGAUCUUCGGACCUUGCGUUAAUGGAGCGGCCGAUAUCUGAUUAGCUAGUUGGUGGGGUAAAGGCCCACUAAGGCGACGAUCAGUAGCUGGUCUGAGAGGACGACCAGCCACACUGGAACUGAGACACGGUCCAGACUCCUACGGGAGGCAGCAGUGGGGAAUUUUGGACAAUGGGCGCAAGC
rnacentral:rRNA from 1 species